rnacentral:lncRNA from 1 species
GAUAUAAAGAAUGAUGAAUUCUUUCCACAAGACAUGUAUAUUAGAUUUUCUUCUCAUAGAAGCAUAGAGGAGAGGCAACAUUAUCAGUGGCGGCAACAAUGCUCUUCACCAAUAGAAACGUGGGAGUAUGAUCAACAACUUUGUCAAUAAACAACUGAUGUGACAGAACAAGUCAAAAGCUUGAAUGAAAAGUUCGACAAAUUUCUAGAGAGGUGUAAUUCCAAGAGAUACAAAGUUACCUUCAGGAAUUUGAAGACACAAAUUGAUGAGGUUGUUGAUGAGGAAAAGGUGAAUAGAGAAGUGGAAAAGAUAAAAGAGGAGAAAAUAGAGGAAAAUGAAGCAGAAAGGUUAAGUGAGGGAGAGAAAGAUGAGGAAAAAGAAAAAGCAGUGGUUAAGAAAAAAAGAAAAAAAUAAGAAAAUAAGAAAAAAGAAAAAAAGAAAGUUGAAAAAGGAGAAGGUUGAGAAAAAAAAGGAAGAGAGGAAAGAAGAAAAUAUCAUAUGAAAAACCCCUUCCUCAUAAAAAGAAAAAUCAUAAGAAGGAAAAGAAGUUCAAGUACUGUAUGGAGAUCUUCAAGAAAUUGGAGAUCAAAAUUCCUAUGAUAGAAACAUGGAAACUGGUGCUUGGUUUGAUCAACUUUUUGAAGAGAUUCAGCAGGAAGAAGAAAAAGAAGAAAAUAGCAAGCAAAAGGAGUAUCAAUGCCUACUGAUGGGUGUUUGAACUCUACCGGGUCAAGCUAAUGACGCUAAAAGAGCGCUAACUGGGAGGCACCCCAGUGAUUGUUGUAUACUAGUUUUCUUUUAGUUGGAUUUGUAAAUAUUGCUAUUUUUGAACAUUAUUUUUGGGUAGCAUCUACUGAGGGAUGCUAACUUUUGUGUCCACUAAAGGAUAUCAGGUAGGAACACCCACUGAUAGGUGCUGGCAUGGAUCGCACUCGCUGAUGAGUGCUUAACAGGUUUGGGUCAGGCUCGUGACGUUAAACAAGCGCUACCUGGGAGGCAGCCCAGUUGUUUUGUUUGUUUGCUUGUUUUUCAAACUCUGUUUUAAGUGCAUCAUAGGUUGCAUGUUCAUCUGAGAGGGGAAAGACCUGUAAGUGAAAAAUUGAAGGCAAAAAUCAAGUGUUACAGGGAAGAAUCAUUCAAAAGAAAGAAAGUGAGAGGAUAAAGUAUCGCUCACCGCCGGGCGGUGCAACUUUACCGUCGGGCGGUGGCGGCGAGAACCCUAGCCCGAGCCCUUUAAAGCUGGGCAGUUUUGGGUGUUCUUCACUUGACUCUUCUCCUUUGCAUUCCGCCAAGCGGUCUUCUCUAACCUCAACACCCAAUUUGCACCUUCACAAGGGUUUCCAAAGAGUUUUCUCACACUUUUUUAUCACCCACUC